UUCGUCUAACGUGCAAAUCGUUGAUCCGAUUUGCGUCGAGUGACCAGGUCACAGCGUGAACCGCGGCGGUCCUAUUUAACUUACUCGAGAGCGUGCGACCACUUCACGAUGAAAUCGCUAGAUAAGACCGCUCGUUUCCACGUGCUUUAUCAAAAUAAAGGAUACGAUAUCGUGGUUAAGGUAGUUACAGCUCUACUCGCCUUAGUCCGUGCGCUUACAAAAAAAUAUUGUUCGCCACACGAACCUCUUACCGCGGUUAUUCAACAUAAUUCCGACGGAAUAUCUCUAUACAUCGCGAGAAAGGUGAAAGUUCUGUAUUGAAUAUAAACGGUUCGAGAAAUAACGAAUAUUGGAAACCCGUAGCAGAAGCAUUAGAGGGAAUGACAAAUGGUGUAAAAUUUUCGUAACCUUUACGCCUCGUAGAAACAACCAAAUCCCUCGAUCGUUCCUUCGAAAUCGAGUCACAAGGUGCGAGCUCUGAACCACCGCGGUGGUUGCAAGUGUAUCGCACGUACAUGUGACGCAUGCACGCCGCUGUAGGCUGCAGCUUGCAUGGAGCCAUUGCAUGCACCGCGAGAUUGCAUAAUGACAUAAUAUUCAUAGCGGUGCCGUUAUGCUCGCGACCGAGUAGGUAAUAAGGGUGUCGGGGAGAAAGACGAAGCGAAAGACGGUCUAGAGAGAAGGAGGAGAAUCUAGGAGCUGAUAGGGAGUUACUGAAAAGGCGGAGAAGAUAGAAGGUAGAAUGGAGAGAAGCAGAGAGAGAGAGAGAGAGAGAGAGAGAGGGAGAAGAAGAAGAAGAAGAAGAAGAGAAUCUCGUUCCUGAUGGAAAGGAGAACAAGCGCCAGUUGCUGAAUAUACGAGGGUAGAAGCUGAGAGGGAUGCUAGCCAUGCAGGCGACAGGAGAGAGGGCGUCCAGGAGGACCGGGGCGACCGGUGCAGCCAUUGCAGCUACCCAGUGCCGUAUCUUGCUAAUGCUGAUAUCGAGAUUUCCGUCCCUAUACUUUACCAAGACGGAAGGAAUAAAUAGGCGUAAAGAUACAUUCGAGGAAAUCUGGGAAUAUUUAGUAACCUCGUACGAUUAAAUCACAGCACUUUAAGCUUUGCACGAUGAAUUUUGCUCUUUAAAAUGAAUACAGUAAUCGAUUAGGGCAGACUGUAGGACACUUAAAUUUAAAAACAGUGGAUUAAGUAUACCGCAGCGCCUACCAGAAAUGCUAUUUUUGUAUACCCUUGUUUUCCAGCAAAGCGUUUUUUAAUUAAAUGCUAUAUUAUACUUUAUUUUCAUAGUACUAAAUUUUUGUACUAUAUUAAAUAAUACGAAAUUUUAUAUACUUAAAACAAUUUAAUUAGUAUUUACAUAAACGUUGUAAUAAAUACAAUAAUGUACAAGUAAUUUUUGUAAUAUCUGUAGUUCUUAAACUAGGAUCCUUAUGUCUUAUCAGAUUUCAAGUUAUCAGUGUUGUCAGAAAGAUUAUAACGAUGCAACUAUUUUCUUAAGCAUUAUCUUAGGACUAAGUGUUGCAUUACCCUCGAAAGUUAAAAGUCGAGCGAGACAAGUUUCUCGAAAAAGUUGCUUCCGCUUAUCUAUAUACAUGUUCUAGCAACUCGAUUAUCCGAAUCGCGAUCGGUUAAUCACAGGCGUGUAAAUAAUUACACGCGUAAAAAGCAAGAACAAUAUUUAUCACCUAAUCCGCAAUUUUUCUUUCCACAUCGAACACGCAACAAAGGCGGCACUGCCGAAGCGCAAACAUUAUCUAAAUGUUAAAACAAUGAAUCGAUCGUUUCGCCUGGCACGCGAUAAAUCGCUUUCGUGCGCCUCCAUCCCUGGUUGUGACGAAGAUGCAAAAUCUGUGGCGAGUAACGAGCCUGGCCGGAUCAAUUUGCGCAAAGCGGUUUGUAAAUGAAUCGAAUAUCCAGUAUAAAUCAUCCCUAACAAAGAACGCACCGAUACGUCGUUCGCGCACCCCGCUGUGAUUACAGCCACUCCUCCUCGGUUUAUCGCUGAUCUUUCCCUACUCUCUCCUACUCUACAUCUUCUCUCUGUAAGUAAAUAAACCUUAGCGACCCUGCUAAGAUGUGUUUGAACGCGUCUCAUGAGCACGUGACGAUGUCGUAACGUCGUCAGGAUGGUUAAACGACCGGGAACGACGUCUUUAACGAGCUACUCUCUAACUAGGUCGGCGAAUCGAUAUCUCGCUGGUGAAAAAUCAAUUUUUAGGUCAACCUCUUAAUCUUUUACGACGUAUAUCAUCAAGAUUUAUGUCGAAGACCGUUCGUCCGAUUAAAUGAAAUUAAUAAGGCUACAUAUACAGAGAAGAAUUUCGCUUUUGAAGAAAACAACGCGAUCUCUUGACAGGCUGUGACGCUAAAAUUGACCUUGGAUCGUAGAUGAAACGAGAGAGACAGGAAAUGAAAGCUGUCCGACAGGCAGGAAACCGGUUACUUACUCGCUAUUUCCCUCGAUCGUUCCCUUCCUUCUUACCGUCGCAAUUAUCAAUUCGAAAUCGUGACGCGAAUCUAACCAACCGAAAACUGAUUCCGCAGCGGUGCGCAACAUCGGGGCCGUUUAAAGACGAGCUGGGUUGCGGGGGUGGAGGUUUAAUAAGGAGAACGGGAGAGGAGUGCCGGAAUGAGAGAAGGCCAAGAGGGUGAAAACGGUAGCGCAAGGAAGACGCCGAAGCCGAGAGUGGAUGGAGAGAUUUAAAGGGAGGCAAGCAACGGAAGGGACUGGCUCGCGGUAGACGAAGCCAUUUACGGGCACGUAAGCGGUUUCCAUUGUCUAUGGAGGUAUAAUGGAGUAAUCUCGCGGUGAUGCGCCGCCACCGAGGCCGAUAGUCAAAUUACGCGCCUCUUACAAGUAUAUACACAGAACCGCUAUAGCCACCCUUCCGGCCAGGACCGGCAGGGUCAGCACCGGAAUGUGUACACCAACCUCUGCCAGUGCCGUAACUACAAAACCGGGGGCACUGCGUUAUCGACCGGUAACACGGUGACCAAGCUAAUAUAUAAUUAGCGAUAUCACGCCGUAAUACGAACUCGCUCCGUUUGUGUCCGAGCCUCUGGACUUGCGGCUAUUGAGUUCCGGCUCCACUCGUGAUUGAGCUACGAACGCUCGAGCAUCAGUGCACGCCAUUGUGUACGUUCGACGUGUUACUUUGAUUUCGCGAGAUCUUUCCAAACUAAGCCCCGGAGAAACGAAAAAGAAAGCUUCCACGACGUUAAUUUGUCGAUCGAACGACUCGAACCAUAUGUUUCUAUUGCCGCGUCGCCAACUCUUCUAUUUCGCGAUUCGCCGUCUCUUUCCUCCGAUUCAUCAAUCACGUCCAACGCGGUUCGAAAGAGGAAAAGAUUGCCCGCCAGCUGGUAGGAAACCUUCGAAAGACUGGUACGGUUAAAAGCACCGAAAUAGGAUGUUCCAUUUAGGAUAGUGACCACAGAGAAGGAAGGCAAUGCGCGCGUAUCAUACGUAGACCGCACAUAACUACGCGCAGACGUACAUCUUUCUCAUGACCGUUAACGAGUGUUUGUGCAAGGUACACAGAAACGGGAGUCGAUGUGUGUGCGCGCGCGAUGGUUACAGCGAUAUAUCAUCGCACGUCCAGAGUCAUAACGUGACGCGCAACACGCGGGCGCAUCAGUCAUUUAGCCGCAAAUGGAAUCUGCUUCCUUCCUCUUGCAGCGUUUCCGCGCCUUGUACGCGGUAUUUUGUACGUCCACCAACAUUGUACGCGUGUAUGAGUGCGGUUAUUCGUCCACCGGACAAGAGAAAGGGAGAGAAAGGGAGGAAGGGAGGUAGGGAGAGAGAGAGAGCUCGGCGUAACGAGCUGCCACCCAACCAGAAAUACCCCUUCCAAAUUCGUAAAACCGCCCUCGACGCACCAGCCACGAUGUUAAUUGAUGGCUGUAAGGGAGGAAUAUCAAUAACGAUCAAGCCCGUUUAUGAACCUAUAAAUGUUGUUUCGCGACCCGGGUUCAUUAGUAUUAAUCGAGACUAGCAUUAGCUACCAACACCGUCUAUGCAACGAUGAUUUAUGUGAAAAGAGACUUUGAGGAAAUCUCGAUUUAAGGCACAACUUCUCUGUACAACGGACGAAUUUCCUCGGUCGCUCGCUUUCUACGAUCGAGAGGAAAAACAGAGCUGAUUCACCGGGUCGGUUAUAUUAUAUCUUCGGAACGUCAGAACGGAUAAGCUUUACAAACACUGUGAAAUUCAUGUCUCGAGUGUUUCGUGUCACGUUUUAAAGGAUUAUGAAUGAACCGAUUGGAUCAACAAGUCACAACCAGAAAGAAACCGGUAGAACAAAAACGAGCUAAAGGAAUUCUAUGAGGUGAAAUGGAAGUUCUUCCGAAACUUUAGCGAAUAAGAAAUUGUUGGCGCGUUAAAAUUCGCACGGCCAAACACGUGCGAUAGAAUCGAAUCCUUCGAGGUGGAAAAUUUCACGAAAGGACGCGGGUAGCAUACGUGGCCCACAAAAUUUUCUAGAGACGCCAGCGAGAAGGCAGCUAUUCCACCGCCAGCCUCUCUCACCUAAGCGUCGUGCUACUUCCACUUCGAGUCAACGGCGUUCAUCCUUUCACGCCCAUCUAACCCUUUUUCGACCACGCGUUUUCUCCUUCGCUUAAUAGACUUUAACGAGUCGCAGAACGUGGCGAGAAGGAGGGAAGAACCGAUAGGGGGCGCCGUGGUUAAAUUAGAAAACUCUCGGGAGGUCAAUACCGGGGGAAUAUUUAAAUUAGGUGAACGCCCCCGCGCAAGGGCCUAUCCUUAAUGAGGUGGAUGAACGAUCGAGAGUUUUCGGUGGUUUCGCAUUCCCUGCUCUUUUACUUUGGCUUCUUUUCUCGACUGUCAGCGCAAAAUCGACCGUGAAUUCAUCCUAAAAUCAAUUUACAUAGGAAGAUCGAUUGGAGUUCGUUCGAAACAAUUUGCACGCCAUUUAUAAUUACACUUUCGUUUAAUACCCGGUGAUAAUAAACGAAAGAAUGGAUCAGCUCUGAUUAACGCGUUCGAGAGAGACUAAAGGAUCUCAUUCGGGACGAAAAUUGCGAAUUAGACUCCCCUGAUACAGUUUCGUUAGGAAAGUGUUAUUAGUGUAUUAACAUGCCACGUUAAUGAUGCCGUGGGUAUAUACCACUUUCUAUGGUCAUGUAAACGUAAUAACGUACAUCAGCCUACAGUACCCUUGAUGAUUAAUAUUGCGCGCUGUCCAACGAUAAUACUGUUACACUAACGUUACAGUAAUUAUUCCUACAGCCCAACGGAUUAUUUUCUAUCGAAUGAAUAACUAGACAUGCUGCAUUAUUAAAUUGUCGUAAUUCGGCUGGCUUCAUAUAGUAGUAAAAUCCGCGAUAGAGCGCUCGAAUAUUGAUAUCGUCGAUCCCGUUCUUAACGUACAAUUUCCGUGAAAUAUGCAUCAAAGUGACGCGGUAAAUGACAACGUAAAUGGGAAAUAUCGACUGUUCCACGAACUAUGGUUUCGAGGUUCUUGUACUUUUUAUCGAAUCUCGUCGAAACGAUUGAUGAUAUUUACAUUCACGAUCAGGGAAGGAGAAAGAGAGUAUAGCAACGAUAUUAAGCACAAAAAACGAAUGUUCCGGGCGACGUCGCGCGGGAGGGGGGGGGGAGCGGGAGAACGCGAAAGAAAUUAAAGGAUCCAAUUUAAAGCAUCAAACCCGUGUUCAAGAACUCUCCGAAGAAUCCGACUCUCAAUUAAUAAGAUUAACUUUCGCGACUGCAGUAGCCGCGUUUUGAGACUGUUUCCCUUGGCCUGGUUCGUUAUACGUCUAACAGAUAUUGGAUAACCAGGAAUAAGGUACGUACACAGAUAACAUCGAAGCUCCCUUUGCGUUCGAACAAGGUGAGCCAGAGGUAAAGAAGAAAAGCGAAGAGAAACGAAGAGAAGAAAACUAGAAUGAAAGGCAGAACGAGAAUGAGAACGAUCUGAGGAUCAAGGGGGUUCCAGGAGCUGGGGAAGCAUCUUACGCGAUCAGACUUCAUAAGCAAGCGGAGCCCCUUCAGUCUUGGAAGGCAAACAACCUUGCACUUCCCCUCGCCUCUUCUCGUCCACUUUCCUUUCCUCUACUCGCUCUUCUCCUCUUUUAACCUCUGGUUUCUCGUGCUUCCACCGUUCGCCCUCGGGACCCACGAAUCCUUCGUCCUUAAAUCCUCGAGCACAGAUGCCGGGGAUGUACCGGCGUGCACCCUACGUCGAAUCCUCCCCGGUAUUUUAUAUUCACCUCAAAUCAUGCAUAUUUAAUCGCAGAAACGGCUCGAUCUACUUUCCCUAAGAGUUAAUCGUACCGCCAUGAACCACUGUAAAUAUCCUUCCUACGAAUCUCCGACGCGUCUGCUUUGUUUCUUGGAUUUCUGGAUUUCCCUUAACAUCGUUUUAUUUCCGCUAUCCACAGGUUUAUGCAAGAUAAAAAUAUCUUCGACUCUAUUUUCUCACAUAAAUCUUCGUAUUUCAUGAAUCUGUAAAAUUAUCCAAAGAACACUACUAUGCCAACCAUCUUCUUUUCGGAAUUUCCAUGUCUGAUCGUACGCGCAUAAUCGUCUUAAUUACAUGCACUAAAAAUUCGUCUCUGGAACACUUGUUCGGUAGGUGUCAUCAACUUUUUGCCAUCUCCUCGGUAAUUUGACAACGAGCUAAGAAACUUAUGGUAACCAAGCGUCAUGGAAAACAAGCUUGGUUCACGGUCGCACCGAGUACAUAAUCAACGUCGACGACCAUUCGUACGUAACGCUUUUAUCGUCGGUAUAGCGUGACCAAUGCAAAAUUGGAAGGAAAAUAGGCCAGCCGGAUGGAACGUGUCGAACUGUCAUCGAGAGGACGUCUCGCGCGAACGAAGCUGAGCUGGCUAGUCUAUUUCUGACUGUGCCUAUAGACUGUGUUAAACGCCAUAUCACAUUGAAAGACCGACCGAUUCAGUUCGUUGGUGACGAGCAGAAUUUAGAAUUUCAUACGUUUGCUUUAUAAUUCGGUACGAAAUAAUUUUAGAACCUUCUGGAAUGAAAAUAUCAAUUGAUUUAAAUUUAUUAGUACGUAACCGAGAAAAUAUAGUUAGUAAUCAAUGGACGAGUAAAAACCAAACUGAAUGAAUAUCUACGUAAAGUCUGGAAUUUGCUAGUCUCUGAUAAAAACAGUAAUCACGACGUACUUGUUUCGGUAAGGCAGCAGGGCGAAAUGUCAUCGAACCAAAGUUUCGCCGUGAAAGCUCGCAGAAUCUGAAUGCAAUGCAACUGCUCGGAUGCGAAGUUCGUUCGGUUAAUUUGCGACUAGUAAAUACGUAGCUAUCGACUUUCGGUUCGAUUCCAACGAUAUGUAAAUAAGGAUGCAUGUACAUGCGUAUCUACGUGUGUUAGCAUAUCAAUGAAAAAGUCGGUAUGAAUUUUUAGCGAGACCGGUCGACUACGCGUACUUCAAUUUCCAUUUGCCUUUUCUUUAUUCCUUCAUUUUCUUUAAUCCUGUUUCACUAUAAAUGCGCACCUGGCCACCAUUCACGAUCAAUCAUCCGCGCGAAUUAUCGAAAGAAAUUAGCAGAUGUUUCGUCGGACAUUUGCAUAUGCAAACGGCGAAGAAAACGAUACGGUUUCAAUUACAGCCAGCAGAGCAAAUCCUAUCGACGUUCUCACGGUCGGAUUUGACUUUACUCAACUUACUUAUAGAACGCUCGUUCUCCCUCCAUCUCUCCCCCCCCUCCCCGCCCUCUCUCCCAUAUCCCCUGUUCGAGUCACUUAAGUUCUCUCAAAGUAGCUGUACGUCGCGGAUAUCAAAGAAAGUCUUGUUUUAAUGAAACCUAAUUAUACACGCAAGUCGCGGGACACGUUCGACCCAAGUUUGCAUAAACGGACGGAUUUGGGACACCUGACGAAUAAUUCCUAAAGUUCGCGGGUAAGUAUCGCAGCACGAUACCGCACUGCUGGAUUGAUAAUUAGUUUUAAUUUUCUCUUUUUCUUUAAGAACAGGAUUAUUUUCUGCUCGUGCAAUGAAUAACGAAUGAUGAGACUUACUUUCACAUUGGCGUCUAAUGACUUAAAAAUCUAAUGGAAAUAACUUACAAAACGACGUCAUCGGAAAACGGUCUUUUUCACAUUCUGCGAGCGCUGGUAAAGAUGGUAAGAUAGGAGAUUCAAAGGAAGAAUUAGAAGCGUAUGAUCGGGAAAAAGGUGUAAACGCAAGUGGAACAACAAAUGGUUGCAUGAACCUUUACCAGCCUCUGGAGACGCGUGGUUGUUGGCUUGGGUGGAAAACUACACCGGAUAUAAGCAAUGGAUAAGAAAGUUCCGCGGCUCUAUGAAAAAUGCAACGCUCGAGUUAUCGUCGAGGUGAAUUUUUCAUCGGCGCGAGUCGAGCUGCUGCUGUUGCCGAGCGUUGCGUCGCGUCCCUUCAACGCCGUCUUCCGUUUUAACCCGCUUUUUUCUCAACCUUGCCCUCACCCCUUCUUUUUUCUUACUUGUUUCUAACCUAGCCACCUUCUUUCGUGACAUAAGCAUGGCAAGCGUUCGGGAGAGGAAAGUUUCGAAGUGACCUGCGACGGAGCAAACCCGUGCCGGGAACUUGCUUCUGACAUCCCGGAGAAAUGCAGCCGAGCGAUUUCUCUCCCAUAUCUAUGCACUACGAGAACCUACUUUCCAAACUGCAAUACACUGCGAAGAAAUUCUUCGGGGAACCAUUGUGCCGAGAACACGCGAUGUCGGUGCAUCCGGUGGCAGGAAACCGAGAGAACGUUACCAAACUGCCGAUGAAACGAGCGACACGCUUGACUUUUGCCAUUUCAACUCUAAACCGAGCAUCCGCUUACAGCUAGCUUCAUCAGAGGUAACAGCUUUCUGGAUAACUGGUACACUUUUGUACAAGUGUAAAUGUUCGUUGAAGCAGCCAUCGCGAGAAGAUUAGAAAAUUCCAAUGAGCGCAGUUGCGAAUGGCCUACUAAAUGGAAGUGAGUAAUUAUGUAUAAAAGGGAAAAAUACGUUCCGAAACGAUCGCGAAAGAACAGUCUUGCUUAAUUCGAAAACUUUCAGAAACGAAACUGUUAAUGAGAAUUCUUGUUUCUUCCAGGGGAAAUUUCGAAACUAAACCUAUUUCAACUACGACCGGCCAAAUGCGAGUCUCCAUACGUGGCGGAGGUCACCGUAUAGAUUCAGGGACCUUGAUAUGGAUCGAAGCUAAAGAACACUGUUCGUAAGGCUGAAUACAUAAAAAAAAAGAAAAGAAAAGAAAAGAAAAGGAAGAGAGAGAAAGAGAGAGAGAGAGAGACAGAAUGAAGGAAGAUGGAGGAAAAGAGCAAGAGAGAGGCUUGUCGCGACCAUUGCAGAUUGGAAGUAUGAGGUGAGGUCGCGGAAGCAGAGAUAGGGGAAAGGUUCGAGAGAGGCAGAUAGGAGAAAUUCUACGGGGCGUAGACGGGAUAAGUUAUCGUUGUGUCUCAGGAUGCACACCGACAUUAUUUCGUAUCUUGCAGGACACUUCGAGCAAUGAGGAUGUCCUGCAGCGCACGCUGCCGGAAUCCAUAACGAGGUCUUAUCUAUCUUAGUCCGGCUUCCUUUUUCCCUUUUAUUCUCCUUCUCGCUUCCUUCCAUUGCAGCUAUUUCCUCUCCUAUACUCCUCCGUACCGAGACGCUUUUGACUAGAUCCAACUAUACACGCGUGUUUCUCUUUAAAUUAGAACUGGCUCCCAUAUCCCCUACACCAUUUUGUUUUCUACUAUAAUUUCUGCCUUGAAAUUGAUGUCGAAAUUUCAAAUCUACAGGAAGAAUGAAACAUUCGCUGGACAACGUGUACCACGAAAAUCCAACUAGAACUUCCAUCGAUUAACGCAUCGCGCACGGUCAAGUUAGCAAUCGGAGCACGGAGUAAUUGCAGGAUUCAGAUGCAAUCAACACGCGUGAUUUACUCCUAAUAUUUCAUCCAGUUCUAGAUUUACGAAGCGACGAAGUCUCGUUGGUGAAUACGUUUUUCAAGACAAACAAGCAUCGAUUACAUCGCCAACAUUGCGAACGUAUUUUUCUACGAAAUAACAGAUGCGGUUCCGACGAUAUUUUUGCCGUUAUGAUCCAAAAUGGGAAAAAUUGCUAACGUGUGUGCGAGAACUCAAUACGAGGAAUGGAAGAUUCGCGAUGAAAACGAAAAACAAAAAACUAUACCGAGUGAUACAAGCAUCGCAAUGUUUCGAUAGUCUUCCAUUUCCGGCAGCUUUUAAAAUGGUAGUGUACGGGCUUGGACGCGGCGACGACGACCGCAUGUUCGUACUUUACGCGCCGCGGACCGCUAAUAACAAACCUCGCGAGGUGAUUACACGGCGUGAUUUCGCGCAGAUUGGACGAGUGAUUAAUUCUUGCGGACAAUCCGCGCUACCACCCCCCUCGACAGCCAAACUGUCGCGUCGACCAGAGCCCUCCCGUUUUCCUCUGUUCGUCGCCGCCCUCUGUGGAUUUGUCGCUCGUACCAACCACGGCAAGGAUAUUUUAAUUCCGAAGCGGCGGCGGAGCGGUUUGGAACGGUUAUUAAUUCGUGUGUCGAGGGUCCGAGCGCCGACCGAGCCGGAGAUUCCAAUGACCAACAACGGGUGCGACGGAGACCGAUCGUCGACGAUGCUCGUAAAAACAACCCCAUUGUUAUCGCCGUCCCGUAGCUCGUUUCGCAGUGGGCGGCACUCGAAUUGGCGCACGGAGAGGGGGGGGGGGACAAAAAGAAACGAGAAGCGAGGUUUCACGUACGCGUCGUAGCAUGCGAGCUGUUCCUCGCUGUUCCUCUCCGCUCCUCUUCGCUCUAUUCCACCUGCUUCUCCCGAUAUACACAUGUAUGCAAACGCACGCGUGCCCACCAUGCCCUCCCGUUAUCGCGAAACGGCCACCGCCGCACGAUUCCACCAGUUUCAGAAACUUCUAUAGGAACGAAACUGGAUUGAUUUUUCACCGACGUUUUUCGCGGUGAAGCUACAUUUUUCGGCCAAAACGACACGAAAACACGGAAACGAUUUUAUCCCCGGCAUAAGACGAAUGUGUCGUUGUUGCUUUCAAUCAUUUGAAAACCUUUGUGCCUUCCAACUGCGUUCCAAAUUUUUCAAUUUCCAAUCAUCACGGGAAUCGCUUAACGAGCCAAAAUUCAUGCGGAUAUUCGUACUCGGACGUCGUGCGAUAAAACAUACUUGAACUUUACGCGCAACAUUGCGCAUCGCAUUUGGAAAUAUCGUCGAUUGUUAUUUUCCCCGUGGCGGGGUGGAGAUUCAAUCGGGACAGUGGUCAGGCCAUUCGCGAGAGAAUAUAAAUUUCGAAGUGUUGAACGCUCUUUUCGGUGCUCUCGUGUGUUCUUUUAUAUUCAACGCGUAACGGUUGCACGUAAUGCUUGCAUGUUACACUUGGAUAUAGGUGCGAGUACGUCGAAACGAAUGGCGGCGGCAUGCGUAUGCGGCAUCUCACGGAGGAGCGCGAUUCUUUUGGAUUGAUUAAUACCCGGCCACCCUUCGAAACUGUUUUGCGACCCUUUUUCUCUCUCGGCAGGGCAACUCGUUUCGCGACGACAGACUCAUCUCCGAUUUUAUGCCUCGUUUGAGGGCGCACCGGUUAACCCCUGCCUCUCCUUUGCUUCGCUCCCUUCAGGACACGCCAGGACGGACCCUCGUUGCAACGCCGCCGCCCGCCAUGAAAAUCACAGGCCACGAGACUCGCGGGGAAUGCUCUAUUUGGUAUUUAAAUAAGCGUACGUGUACGCUCGCCUUGUCCCGUAACCGUAUGGGACAAGUUCACUGAGCUUCUUUUCGGGAAAACCGGUUGGGGGACCCUGUCCCUUCGAUAUUUAUCACGAGGGAAAGGGCCCGGUCAAUUAUACCAUGGCUGGCAAAUAUGCUAAUCCGAAUGACGCCAACCAUGUAUCCAAAGAUAAAAACAAUCGUAAAAGCCAUAAACGUCGACACGUGCGUUUCUCUACUUCGAUCAAUAGAUAACCUGUGCGUUUUAUAUCGGUCUUUUAUUUUAAGUUAUUUUAGAAACAUGUUAACAGAUAAAUACAUUAGCGCACAAAAGUGUUUCAAGACUCAUCGCAAAAAACUUUCGUGCUCACAUUAUAUGAGUCAUAUAAAACAUUUUGAAAUUUCAUUAGCACUAUAUUGGGACACAACUGUCAUAAUGAAAUGACGUAAGUCAUAUUCUGUUUCCAUAAAAUAGCGUCUUAUAUCUAUUAUUUAUAAUAGUGAAAACAUUGUGCGUAAUAAAGUUGCUACUUAAUUAAUUAUUAUGAAACUAAAGGGAUGACACCUGUGAAAGUUGUAACACGUAGCGACUACAUUCAAAUUCUCAAAAUCUUGACUUACACCACUAUAAUUUUUAACACCAUGUACAAAACAAAGAGUAACUUGUAAAAUUCUAGCGAGACGAAAAAUUGUGCUGACUUUAUAGUUUCCUUUCAGGAUAAUUCAAGUGCACGACAGAAUGAGGAAAAGCUAUAGAACCUACUCGGGGAAACUUUCGUUAUAACGCUAUCGUGUAAGGAUAUAAUUUUCGUGUCCGGUGAAUGCAUGCUUCGAAAAGCGGGACAAAUUCUUCGCCAGCAGAGAACACGAGCAGCUUACUUUUCGUCUUUGGCUCGAAAUAAGUUUCCGUUCUUGUUAUUAAGACCGCGGAAGCAAUAAGAGCAGCGAAGCGAAGCGCGAGAAGUUUACCUGCGUUGCUUGUUAAAAACGUACCGAUGAACAGAUUAUAAGAGGUCAUGGGAGCCGAUCGAUUUCUUGUGUGCGUAGUGUUGGAAAAUAAUAGGUAAACGUUCCAUGAGAAUGUAGAGAGAGAGAGAGAGAGAGAGAGAGAGAGAGAGAGAGAGAAUAUCGGAAUGAAAGAACGGUUGGUCGAUCUGUUCGAAAACAGGAGGAGAAACGAUAUCGUGCGAGUGGUUAAUUCAGCGAUUUCACCGAUAACGGAAACCCUUGAAAAUAAAGUUGCUAGCUUUUCUGGGGAGACACGACCAAGUCAAUAUUGUCUUACCGUGCUAAGCGCGCUAAAGUACACCGUGAGAGCUGUGCCGUGCAGGAAACUUUAUAUAUCUCAGUGCGUAGUUGCGAACAAACUUGACAGAAUCCAACAAUAAGGCAAAGUUCCGUCUUUUCGUUGUCUCCUUCUUCAGCCUUGACUAAAAAUAAAUACGCCGUAACCUCACCCCGAUGAAAAGAGACCCUGUGUCGUCCGAUCAACUGCAGCCACGCAUCAUUUUCAACAACAAGAAAAAAAUAGCCACGACGCCCGAAUCCCUAAAUCCAUUGCUUGAAAUGUGUUUUUCUCUGAAACGAAGAUGAUUACGAAACGUUUCUCUGAUUCGUUGUGAGCAACGUGAUGUAAUCGGUAUACUCGUAGAAAGUAUUUUGGUAUUUCGUAGGAACUGAGGGACUAUUGUCAAACUAUUUUCACUAUAAUCUUUGGAAAACAGACACGUGUGUUGAGAAAACACGGCGUUAAACAUACCGUUCUUUUCUGGCCCGCUUUCGAGAUAAGACCAUUAUUUUCUAAGAUUCAUGCAGUACACGGAAUAAAAUAUUUUUCUGUAUAGAAGAGGAUUUUUCAUGAUGAUUUCAUUAUUAAUGAAAAUUUAUGAUAUUUCCAACAAUAGGUACUUUAUUGUACGGUAAAAGAUAUUCAUAUAGCUUUACUCCAUAGUAUAUUCUUUGGAAUAUCGAAAUGCUCAUAUGUAGAUGGUAACGUAUGUUCCAAAUUUCAACAUUGUUAUAAAAAAUACUGUCGUACUCGGAAUUUUUGUCUGGACUAAUCUCAUAUAAGAUUAAAUCGAUCGUGUCUAGCCACUAAAAAUCUUUAAUUGUUAAAGUAAGGAAUCUUUUCGACAAUGAUACUAGUCGCUUAACGACUCGAACGUUAUUCCA